rnacentral:rRNA from 1 species
UAGGGAAUCUUCCGCAAUGGGCGAAAGCUUGACGGAGCAACGCCGCGUGAGUGAUGAAGGUCUUCGGAUCGUAAAACUCUGUUAUUAGGGAAGAACAAAUGUGUAAGUAACUAUGCACGUCUUGACGGUACCUAAUCAGAAAGCCACGGCUAACUACGUGCCAGCAGCCGCGGUAAUACGUAGGUGGCAAGCGUUAUCCGGAAUUAGUGGGCGUAAAGCGCGCGUAGGCGGUUUUUUAAGUCUGAUGUGAAAGCCCACGGCUCAACCGUGGAGGGUCAUUGGAAACUGGAAAACUUGAGUGCAGAAGGAGAAAGUGGAAUUCCAUGUGUAGCGGUGAAAUGCGCAGAGAUAUGGAGGAAAACCAGUGGCGAAGGCGACUUUCUGGUCUGUAACUGACGCUGAUGUGCGAAAGCGUGGGGAUCAAACAGG